AGAGUUUGAUCUGGCUCAGGAUGAACGCUGGCGGCGUGCCUAAUACAUGCAAGUCGAACGCGAGCACUUGUGCUCGAGUGGCGAACGGGUGAGUAAUACAUAAGUAACCUGCCCUAGACAGGGGGAUAACUAUUGGAAACGAUAGCUAAGACCGCAUAGGUACGGACACUGCAUGGUGACCGUAUUAAAAGUGCCUCAAAGCACUGGUAGAGGAUGGACUUAUGGCGCAUUAGCUGGUUGGCGGGGUAACGGCCCACCAAGGCGACGAUGCGUAGCCGACCUGAGAGGGUGACCGGCCACACUGGGACUGAGACACGGCCCAGACUCCUACGGGAGGCAGCAGUAGGGAAUUUUCGGCAAUGGGGGAAACCCUGACCGAGCAACGCCGCGUGAAGGAAGAAGGUUUUCGGAUUGUAAACUUCUGUUAUAAAGGAAGAACGGCGGCUACAGGAAAUGGUAGCCGAGUGACGGUACUUUAUUAGAAAGCCACGGCUAACUACGUGCCAGCAGCCGCGGUAAUACGUAGGUGGCAAGCGUUAUCCGGGAUUAUUGGGCGUAAAGAGGGAGCAGGCGGCAGCAAGGGUCUGUGGUGAAAGCCUGAAGCUUAACUUCAGUAAGCCUAGAAACCAGGCAGCUAGAGUGCAGGAGAGGAUCGUGGAAUUCCAUGUGUAGCGGUGAAAUGCGUAGAUAUAUGGAGGAACACCAGUGGCGAAGGCGACGAUCUGGCCUGCAACUGACGCUCAGUCCCGAAAGCGUGGGGAGCAAAUAGGAUUAGAUACCCUAGUAGUCCACGCCGUAAACGAUGAGUACUAAGUGUUGGAUGUCAAAGUUCAGUGCUGCAGUUAACGCA
rnacentral:rRNA from 1 species